GGGUAAGUCUUACACGAUCAGCUCCCGUUGAACUCCCCCAGGGUCGGAAGGCAGCAAGGGUAAAUUGGUUGUAGCGAUGCGAUGUAAGUAGCUUACCCUUU
rnacentral:SRP_RNA from 1 species